UACGGGGGGGGGCAAGCGUUGUUCGGAAUUACUGGGCGUAAAGGGCUCGUAGGCGGCCAACUAAGUCAGACGUGAAAUCCCCAGGCUCAACCUGGGAACUGCGUCUGAUACUGGAUGGCUUGAAUCCGGGAGAGGGAUGCAGAAUUCCAGGUGUAGCGGUGAAAUGCGUAGAUAUCUGGAGGAAUACCGGUGGCGAAGGCGGCAUCCUGGACCGGCAUUGACGCUGAGGAGCGAAAGCUAGGGGAGCAAACAGG
rnacentral:rRNA from 1 species